UAAAUAUCAGCAGAUGACCUUGCCAAGCCAUCAACUAAGUAUAUAAUUAACUUCAAAAGAUUUGUAUCAGAUAUCUUUUAUUUUUUGUUUGUUUUCCUCCAUUAACUUUGUUAUUUCUUCACCUUACAUCCUGAUCACAGCUCCCCUCUCCUCCCAGACCCUUUGUGCACAGCUCCUCCCACUAGUGCUCUCCUCUGAGAAAGGGGAAGCCCCCCUGGUAUCAACCCACCCUAGCAGAUCAAGUCACUGCAGGACCUGGCAUAUCCUCUCCCACAGUGGCCAGACAAGGCAACCCAGUUAGGAGAACAGAUCCACAGGCAGGCAAUGAAGACAGGGAUAGCCCCCCCUGCUCCAGUUCUUGGGGGACCCCAGUGAAGACCAAGCUGCACAUCUGCUACAUAUGGGUAGGGUAGGGGUAAGUCCAGCCCUGUAUACUCUUUGGUUGAUGUGUUUGUUUCUUUGAGGCAGGAUUUCAUUGUGUAGUUCUGACUGUUCUCGAACUCUCUCUCUAGACCAGUCUGGCCUCCAACACUCACAGCCUCCUAAGUGCUGGGAUCAAAGGCGUGCAUUCACAUCACCACCACCACCCUAUUUUUUUUCAAUGCUUGUGUGCCAAACACAAGGUAUCACACAUACCAAGCCACACCUUCAUUUUCUUUCAAGAUUUAUUUUUAUUUUUAUUUUAUUUAUUUAUUUAUUUAUUUAUUUAUUUGGUUCUUUUUUUCGGAGCUGGGGACCGAACCCAGGGCCUUGCACUUCCUAGGCAAGCUCUCUACCACUGAGCUAAAUCCCCAACCCCCUUAUUUUUAAUUUUAAUUACGUGUAUGUCCCUGUGUCUGUAUGUGGGUAUGUGAAUAAACAAGUUCAGAUACUAGGAAGCCAGAAAGCAUCGAGUUCCCCUGGUGUUAAAGGAUCUGUGAGCCAUCUGACGAACACCGAGAACCAAACUUGGGACUUCUGCAAGAGAAGCGAGGGCUCUUCACCCUGAGCCAUCUCCUUAGCCAAAGCUACGGCUUUUCAGAUUGUAUAUCCCAACUUCAUAUAGGGUAUCAUGACUGAAUGUGAGGGCUGUGAAAAUUUGACGACAGUCACAGGUUUUUAAACACACAACGACUGGAUGUGAAUUCAAACUCAUGUGGGUAAGGGGUCUGAGGUGUUCAUGGCAAAGCCCACUGGUGCUGCAUGCAAGGUGGGAGGAGAAAGACCACCGACCUAAAUCAUCAUGGCCGAAUUAAUUAAGGCAAGCACUCUUUAUUCCUCUACAUGGGCUGUCUCCUGCUAAGGUGGGGUUUGAGAGGUCAGCGUUGGAUGUGAGGAAGACAGGCUUUUAUAGCUCAGGGGUAGGGGAUUUCCAGAUGGGGGAUUUGGCUGGUGAAAUAGGCAGGGUUACAGGAGCAGAAUCGUAAGUGUAACAAGUUGGUCUCUCCAAGAUGGACAUAAUAAGGUCAUCAUAACAACAGGUAGCCAUAACAACGGGUUGUCAUAACAACAGGUUGUCAUAACAAAAGGUAGUCAUAACGAGGAGGUCAUAGGUGGUCAUAUAACAUUUUGAAACAGAGCUAGGGUUGCAAGAUGGUUGUACAAGCAAAACCUUUUUGAAACAAAGACAUGGUGACCAUUUCUGGGCCAGGCAGUAUAGAACCAUCCAUAAUUCAGGGUACAGGUGGUGAAUAGUCAGAUACUUGUGAAACAGAGGUUUAGUCUUAAACAGGAAGGAGCCUAGUUUGUCAGUACUGUAAGGCUAAGACAGAAGCUGGCUGGUUUCUCCAUCACAUGUAUACAUUGUGUCCUGUGUGCAUGCACUCAGAUCCAUUAAAUAAAGAAAUGUAAAAUAGACAAAUAGAUUAGUGCCGAGCAGAGCAGCAGACAACAGUUUUGACCCUUCCUGUACAUGCAAACAUUUCCGAUGGCACAGUCUGUUGAAGACCAUUCCCUUCUCGCUCUCCCCCACGCCUAUUGCCCUGAGCUUUAAGGAGCCCACACCCACUCCUCUCAGUAUUGCCACUUUGUUGCCUUUGUCCCUGUCUCCAAGGCCUCUAGAACUUUUCUUGUUUUCUCUCUGUCUUUCCUCCUCCUGCCUUUUCUCCACAUCCUUCCUAAGCUUCCUCUUUGCUUUGAACUCAGAAUCCCCCUGCCUGUGCUUUAAUGUUGUCGGUCAUGUGCUUUCCCCAGGAGUCUGGCAGAGACGUCAGUUACUGUGGGAGGCAUGGAGGUCUUUGUGCUUCCUGAUAAGCACCAGGAGAACCUGAAUUGCUAGCGCUCAAGUGGAGGUGUGGGGGGUGUUCAUUCUAGAAAAGAAAUUAAUAACCCGUUAUCUGUCAAGAAGGCUUGGAGCAGUUGUGCAUUCCAGCCUGGUGAACUUCCUGCUAUCUAUGUUUUGGGGGCUACACUGGCCCCUCUUCCCCUAGACCCUUAUUAUAAACUUCUUUUUUCUCCAUCAAUCUAUAAAACUGUAGAACCUACCUUUUUUAAAAACUUAUUCAGGGGUUAGGGAUUUAGCUCAGUGGUAGAGCGCUUGCCUAGCAAGGGCAAGGCCCUGGGUUCAGUCCCCAGCUCCGAAAAAAAGAAAAAAAAGAAAAGAAAAAAAUUUUAAAAAAAAACUUAUUUUAUUUUAUUAUUUAUUUAUUUUUGAAAUAGAGUUUCUCUGUGUAGCCUGGCUGUCCUGGGACUCACUCUCAGUGCUGGGACUAAAGGCAUGUGCCAUACUUCCUGGCUGUAGAGCCUGUCUUUAUGAAAUGUGUCACACGGACCUUACAAAGACCUUUGAUGUAGACACUUCUAAUCCUCAUUUAGCUUACUUUGUUUCUUAAGGAGACUUAUGCGUGCUUUGUUGUGCACCUGGGAUUGAGUUAUCAAAAGGAAAGUUUUCCCGAUGUUCCCCUGUAGUUAAAUAUACCUAAAACAAAUAUCUCAAAAGUCAGACUCUCGGGCUGGAGAGAUGGCUCAGAGGUUAAGAGCACUGUCUGCUCUUCCAGAGGUCAUCAGUUCAAUUCCCAGCAACCACAUGGUGGCUCACAACCAUCUAUAAUGAAAUCUGGUGCCCUCUUCUGGCCUGCACGUGUACAUGCAGGUGGGACGCUGUAUACAUAAUAAAUAAAUCUUUAAAAAAAAAAAAAAAGUCAGACCCUCAACAUUUAAAGCAACAAUGCCUGUUACCUCUGUGUGGAACCAAGCUUCCCUCUUGCCUUCUAAAUACCAUUACAAAGCCAGCUGCGGUGGAAGAAGAGACUUCCGCGGGCUACAUCAUCUCAUUUCCAUAUUGUCCCAGUUGUGGGGACGCCCGUUGGGAAAGCUGAACCCACUGCUAAAGCAACAGGCACCCUAACUUGGGAGCAAAGUCCAAGGCCCUGAGCCAGGCUGCAGUGAGAAGCAGCUAUUGCCUGGUCCAAAGUCUUCUCAGGGUUGUGCUGGAUUCUGCUGAUUCCUAAAACAGGGAGCUCAGGGGUUCAGAGACACCUACCUGCUAGGGACUAGUUGGGGAGAGGCUGCAAGGUGUGAGAUUCCCAAUGUUCUCAAUGCCCUAGAGGCAGGCUAGCCACAGGAAUUUGGCGGAGCCUGGGUUGGUCUAUUGUGGGGGAGGGUCCUAGACCACUUUUCUAGAAAUGUGGAAACUGCAGAAUUGUGUACAGCCAGCCUGGGGAGUUUGUGGUUCUCAAGCUUUUGGGUGAACAAGGUGCCAUCACAGCCCCAGGAGCUGGAAGAAGCUGUACCGGGAUGACAGCGACAGUCAUCUGGCAGUCUCUGAGGCCCAGCCAGAGCCCCAGGCGGCCUAGGAUGUCUCCUCACUAAGUAGCGUUCCUUGACCACUCCCACAGGAGGCGGGGCUAGCGGAGAAAGGGCAGGAAAGUGUUGGCCAGUGCACAAGACUUCUGCACACCUGAGAACCCUCUACAACUGAGCCACCUGGAAGUCGGUGGCAGGUCCCCAUGAGUUAAGAGGUCAGAAGUCGCUGACACCUCUAGGCUUCUGCCUCUCUCUGGCCUAUUCCUGAGCUGUCCUGGGGUCUCUGUACCCUUCUAGAAGGAGUUUAGCAGGGUCUGAUGAAGUUCUACAAUGGCCUGCAACUUACUGUGUAACUGAGGAAGACUUUGAACUUCCAUUCCUCCUGACUGGAUGUCCAAAGUUCUGGGCUUACAAGCGUGACACACCAUACCCAGCUACAGUAUUUUUCCUUAGGACUUAUUGACUGGAACUCACUGUAUAGUCCAGGCUAGCCUCCAGCAUGAAACAAUCUUCUCAAAUCGUCACACUCAGCAAGGUCACCUAUUUUAACGUGCAGCUCUGAUGGCUUUGCAAAUUGCAUACAGUCUGGCAGUCACCUCCACAAACAAGACACAGAAGAAUCUCAUCGUACUCUGUCACCUCCUCUCCCAAAGGCCUCUGGUAACCACUGGUAUGUUUUCUGGUGCUGGAGUAUUAUGGGAUAUCAACCAGAGAAGGUUGCUUGAACAUGGGGUUGAGCCAAUCAAAAGUCUUUAUUAGCCACUGGGUCUUCGGGAACCAGGGGUCACAACCAAGCCAUUCUCGGGGUGAGCUUUUUAACACAAAAGCCAUAUUCUGGGUUGACAUAUUUCACUUAGCAAGAACAGCUAGCCAGAAGUCGAAUUAUCGAAGACAAAAGGCAAGGUUAGUACGUUCAGAGACUUUCCCAGAACUCUGGACUUCGAUGGAUUAGGUCUUUGUUUUCACUGUGGCCAGCUGAGCUGUCUACGUGACUUCCAUUAUGGAGUCAGUCAUGCUAAGGUCUGGGGGUCUAUUAAGGCCUGGGACUCUGUUAAAGAAGGAGGCCAAAGAGGAUACUGAACCUUCUGGAACUGGAGUUCAAAUGGUUGUAAGCCCCCAUAUGAGUUGAACCCAGGUCCUUUGGAAGAACAGCCAGUGCAUGCUUUUAACCGCUGAGCCAUCUCUCCAGCUCUUUCAUGGUUCUCUUCCUCCAGUGCUCUCUUUGUAGCUGUGUCACACACGUAGAAUCACGGUGUGUGGCCCUGAGUCUGGCUACUUUCACCAGCUGACAUUCAUCCAUUACCAGGAGAUCUCAGCUCAGUUCUUUCUUUUUUUUUGGUUCUUUUUUUUUUUUUCCAGAGGUGAACCCAGGGCCUUGCGCUUCCUAGGCAAGCGCUCUACCACUGAGCUAAAUCCCCAACCCCCUCAGCUCAGUUCUUUGUCCAUUCCACACUUCAGGGACAUUUGGAUUGUUUCUGUAUUCUGUCACUUACAACAGAACAACUCUAAACUCUCCUUCAGGGCUGGAGUCCGUAGAGGGCUUCAGCACCACCUAAUCAUGGUGGGAUUGUGCAAGCCUGUCAUCCCAGCACUUAGUAGGGGUAGGUCAAAGAAUCAGAAGUAAAAGUCACCCUCAACUACAUAAUGAGUUGUAACCAACCUCAGAUAGAUGAGGCUCUUUAAAGACUAUAUAUGGGGCUGGAGAGAGGGCUCAGUGGUUAAGAGCACUGACUGCUCUUCCUGAGGUCCUGAGUUCAAUUCCCAGCAACCGCAUGGUGGCUCACAACCAUCUAUAAUGAGAUCUGAUGCCCUCUUCUGGUGUGUCUGAAGACAGCUACAGUGUACUAAAAUAAA